UGUCCUGCCGAAGCAAGGAUCAGGUACUAAAAUUGGAAUGAUACAGAGAAGAUUAGCAUGGCCCCUGCGAUGACACGCAAAUUUGUAAAGAGUUCUGAAAUCAC